rnacentral:rRNA from 1 species
UACAGAGGUCUCAAAGCGUUGUUCGGAUUCAUUGGGCGUAAAGGGUGUGUAGGUGGCGCGCUAAGUCGGGUGUGAAAUUUCGGAGCUUAACUCCGAAACUGCAUUCGAUACUGGCGUGCUUGAGGACUGGAGAGGAGACUGGAAUUCAUGGUGUAGCGGUGAAAUGCGCAGAUAUCAGGAGGAACACCGAUGGCGAAGGCAGGUCUCUGGGCAGUAACUGACGCUGAGGAGCGAAAGCGUGGGGAGCGAACAGG